GGGCGGCGGGAGAUAGGGCUGGGCUGUCAACUCGGGCGUCCCACCAUCUGCUCUCCUGCUCUCUCGCGGAUUCAUUACCUAGGUGAGAAACCUCAGACAUCCCUCAGACACUGCUCUCCCAACCCUGGUCUGCUCUCCAACAGCGAAGCCUGGUGUGCAGCAAAAGAAGAGCUGUUCAAGUGUGUGCUUCUUACAGAAGGCAGAAGAUGCAUUAUUGUCCUUCCUUGGUCAGACCUGCUUGUCCAUCUGUUUUGCCACCAUGCAUGGAACAAUGAGAUCCUCACCAAAAGCUGAGAAGAUACCAGCACUAUGUCCUUGGACUUUCCAGCCUUC